UCCACGCCGUAAACGAUGUCUACUAGGUUGUGGAAGUUCUGACGCUGCCACGGCCGAAGCAAAAGUGCUAAGUAGACCGCCUGGGGAGUACGGCCGCAAGGCUAAAACUCAAAGGAAUUGACGGGGGCUCACACAAGCGGUGGAGCAUGUGGAUCAAUUCGAAGCAACGCGUAGAACCUUACCUGGGUUUGACAUGCUUGGAUGCUGCCCCCGAAAGGGGGUUAGCUGCCUUCGGGUGAAACUUGCACAGGUGCUGCAUGGCUGUCGUCAGCUCGUGUCGUGAGAUGUCGGGUUAAG
rnacentral:rRNA from 1 species